rnacentral:rRNA from 1 species
CCAGACUCCUACGGGAGGCAGCAGUGGGGAAUAUUGGGCAAUGGGCGCAAGCCUGACCCAGCAACGCCGCGUGAAGGAAGAAGGCUUUCGGGUUGUAAACUUCUUUUAUGAGGGACGAAAGAAAUGACGGUACCUCAUGAAUAAGCCACGGCUAACUACGUGCCAGCAGCCGCGGUAAUACGUAGGUGGCAAGCGUUAUCCGGAUUUACUGGGUGUAAAGGGCGUGUAGGCGGGACUGCAAGUCAGAUGUGAAAAUUAUGGGCUCAACCCAUAACCUGCAUUUGAAACUGUUGGUCUUGAGUAUCGGAGAGGCAGGCGGAAUUCCUAGUGUAGCGGUGAAAUGCGUAGAUAUUAGGAGGAACACCAGUGGCGAAGGCGGCCUGCUGGACGACAACUGACGGUGAGGCGCGAAAGCGUAGGGAGCAAACAGGAUUAGAUACCCCCGUACCC